rnacentral:hammerhead_ribozyme from 1 species
AUCCAGAUGACGAGUCUAAAAUAGAACGAAACCCAUGUGUUGGAU